rnacentral:rRNA from 1 species
UACGUAGGGGGCAAGCGUUGUCCGGAUUUAUUGGGCGUAAAGGGCGCGUAGGCGGUGCGGUAAGUCACCUGUGAAAUCUCCUGGCUCAACUGGGAGCUUGCAGGCGAAACUGCCGUGCUGGAGUGUGGGAGAGGUGCGUGGAAUUCCUGGUGUAGCGGUGAAAUGCGUAGAUAUCAGGAGGAACACCUGUGGCGAAAGCGGCGCACUGGACCACAACUGACGCUGAGGCGCGAAAGCUAGGGGAGCAAACAGG